ACAUGCCUACAACCUAGCGUUAAUGCACUAGAUCCCAUUAGAACUCCGCAGUUAAGCAAGCUCAGGCUAGAGUAGUAUUGGGAUGGGUGAUCGCCCGAGAAUUCCUAGUGUUUUACAUGCA
rfam:Picea glauca, whole genome shotgun sequence.